ACCCCCCCCCCCCCAACUCUUCUUAGUUCUUACCCUCUCCAUCAAAUGCUUCAUGUCUCUCUCUGAACCCACCUACCCUUUUGUCCAAACUCACUGUUUCCACAUCCACACCAAGAGGUGGCACACACCCCUGUCCCUGUGAACUGGAACAACACAUCCCCUGUUCCAGUGGGGAAUAGAGAGCAAUAAAGGGCCAUUUUGGUCCUGGAGGAGAGAAGAGUACAGCUCCCACAAGAAGCAGGGCACUUGCGUGCAGGGCUUGUCCACUGCUCUGAUUGGGAUGGGAACACAGAAAGGCAACUGAUCUGUGCUGAGUGGAGGUGGGGGGGAUGCCUUUCUGGUCCUUUGUUAUUGUUGAUUGCUCUAUUGGGUCUGUUUUUUUGUUUUGUUUUGUUUUAAUCCAAUUCCUUUGGGAGGAUAAUGGCCUUGGCAUUCAGACACCUCUCCCCACCUUAUUCCCCAUCAUUCUCUCUCAGGAAUUUCCUUUCCCGGAGCCCAUGAAUCAAACUCCGUCCCACUCGCCCCACCACCCCCAUAAUCCCCCAUCAUCCUCCCCCUUGCUUCCCCUGUUCCUAGUCAAUCUUUGAAACUCACUAGUUUGGCCUAUUCCCUGUUUGAUUCCAGGAGGUUUGGUUGCAGGAGAUGAGCUGUGUUCUGUUUUGGCUGAUUCCUUCAUUGUCUUUGGUUAUAUUUCCUGGUUUGUGCUCCAGUUCAUUUCUCUACAGCUCAAAAUUGGAUCUUGCUGGGUUUUGAUCCAUUCUUUGUUGCAUUCCUGUAGGUAGAUUGUGGGACCUGGGCCUUUGUUGCAUUUUUCCUCCUUGUUCGUGGCUCAGGUCCCUGUUUCAUACCUCAAAAUUGGAUCUUGCUUGGACUUGCUUAGACACUUAGAAGGAGCUGUGGAUUGUGCGGAGAGAGGAGAUUUUUGAGUGUCUCCUUUUCUUUGAUGUUUUGGGUUGUUUUCCUUUGGGUGGGUUUUAUUUGGUUCCUGCCCCAUCUGAGAUUUGAGGGUUAAAGGAAGGAUUUCUCUUUUUAGGCACUUUACUUACGUGCCCCUGUGGUAGGCAACUAGGAUAGUAUGUUACUGUUCUUGUUUGAACUAAAUAGGACUGUUUGAAAAGGUUCAAUAGGAACUUUUUUUUUUCCUUUUUUGCAUCAGAGGCAACAGUGCUGACCACCUUUCUGUUUCUCUGCCCACCAAGCCAUUGAAUCGCUUUGCCCUCUAUUUUAAUUUCGCGGUGUUAUAUCAGAUAAGUAUUGGAUGAGUCCUUUGCAUGCAUUUGGGCUUGGAUAUAGUGUUCCUUUGCUUAGCUUUGAUGCUUGCUGAUGGCUGUUCUCUGAGAUCCCCAUGACUUGGUUCCUCGAUGCUGAUACGAUGGAGCAGAAGGCUGGAUUCCUUAGUGAUAAGAGGAAGUUCUGGUUGGGAUCCUGUGACAAAUUCUCGUUGCGAGGCUGGAAGAGUCACCUUUAUAACCAUUACUUUGGGUCGAAGAAGGUCAGAGAAACAUGGUGGAGGAAGCUUCUGAUCUUGUGGGUGGUUGGGUGGUUCUUAGUGUCUCUGUGGAUCUUCUGGGUGAUGAAUUCCCAGGGGAUCAAGAAGAGGAGGGAAACACUUGCUAGCAUGUGCGACGAGCGUGCCAGGAUGCUUCAGGACCAGUUCAAUGUGAGCAUGAACCAUCUUCAGGCAUUGGCAAUCCUCAUUUCAACAUUUUAUCACUCCAAGGAGCCAUCUGCCAUUGAUCAGAUGACUUUUGCAAGAUAUGCAGAAAGAACUGCUUUCGAGAGGCCACUGACGAGCGGUGUGGCUUAUGCUGUGAAGGUGCUGCAUUCAGAAAGAGAAGAGUUUGAGAGGAAUCAAGGAUGGACUAUCAAGAGAAUGGACUCCACAGAGCAAUCCACGGCUUGUAAAGAUGAUUCAGCCCCUGAGGCCCAGGAGGUAUCACCGGUUGAAGAAGAAUAUGCUCCUGUCAUCUUUGCUCAAGAUGCCUAUAAGCAUGUGAUAUCUCUGGAUAUGCUGUCUGGAAAGGAGGAUUGUGAAAACAUUCUACGAGCUAGGGAAUCUGAGAAGGGGGUCCUAACUGCUCCUUUUCCGCUGUUAAAAUCAAAACGCCUUGGGGUUAUUCUGACGUAUGCGGUGUACAAAAGAGAACUUCCUUCAAAUGCAUCCCCACUGGAACGUAUCCAAGCAGCCAUAGGGUACUUAGGAGGAAUCUUUGAUAUAGAAGCACUGGUGGAUAAAUUGCUUCACCAACUUGCGUGUAAGCAAUCCAUUAUGGUCAAUGUGUAUGAUACCACCAAACCUAACAAACCUAUCAGAAUGUAUGGUUCAAACAUGAUGGGCAGUGGUAUAUACCAUUGCAGCACCCUUCACUUUGGUGAUCCAUUCAGAAAUCAUGAGAUGCAGUGCAGGUUUAAAUACAAGCCACUGUUGCCAUGGCUUGCCAUAACAACAUCAAUUGGAGCUCUUGUGAUUGCCUUGCUAAUUGGAUAUAUUUUUCAUGCUACGGUCAACCGCAUUGCCAAAGUGGAAGAUGAUUACCGGGAGAUGAUGGAACUUAAAAAAUGCGCAGAAGCAGCAGAUGUGGCAAAGUCUCAGUUCUUGGCAACAGUAUCUCAUGAAAUCAGAACUCCAAUGAAUGGAGUUUUGGGCAUGCUGCAAAUGCUUAUGGACACUGAGCUGGAUAUCACACAACAAGAUUAUGUGAGAAUUGCCCAAGAAAGUGGAAAAGCUCUUGUAUCACUUAUUAAUGAGGUUCUGGAUCAAGCAAAGAUUGAAUCUGGCAAGCUUGAGCUUGAAGCUGUCAGAUUUGACUUGCGGGCAGUUCUGGAUGAUGUCUUGUCACUCUUCUAUGGAAAGUCCCAGGAAAAACAAAUAGAGUUGGCAGUUUAUGUUUCUGAUCAAGUUCCCGAAUUUCUUGUCGGUGAUUCUGGAAGAAUACGGCAAAUCAUGACAAAUCUCAUGGGAAAUUCCAUAAAAUUCACAGAGAAAGGGCAUAUCUAUGUGACUGUUCAUCUCGUCGAAGAGGUGAUGAAUUCAUUGGAAGUGGAAUCAGAAGCUCAGUCAGUUAGUACCUUGAGUGGCUUUCCUGUAGCAGAAAAAAGGCAUAGCUGGGAGAGCUUUAAGAUAUUCAAUCAGGAUUUGCCCGUGACUGAGCUGUCUCUUUUGUCAACCUAUCCUGAUCUUAUUAACUUAAUCAUAUCUGUUGAAGAUACAGGGGUAGGAAUCCCCCGAGAAGCCCAGUCCCGGGUGUUCACUCCUUUUAUGCAGGUAGGCCCAUCAAUUUCACGCAUUCAUGGGGGCACUGGCAUUGGACUUAGCAUCAGUAAAUGUUUGGUUGGUCUCAUGAAGGGAGAGAUUGGAUUUGUGAGUGAACCCCAGAUUGGUUCCACUUUCACCUUUACUGCUGUUCUUAUGAGAGCAUGCAGCAAUUCAAAUGAGUACAAAUCAUCUGAAUUUCAAGGGAUGACCGCAUUGGUGAUUGACCACAGACCGGCCAGUGCAAAGGUCACAAGGUACCAUCUACAAAGGCUUGGUAUUCAUGCUGAACUGGCCAGUGACCUAAAUCAAGUUCUCUCUAGAAUAACUGACGGAACAUUAAUGGUAAAUAUGGUUCUUGUCGACAAGGAAACAUGGUUGAAAGAUGCUAAACUCUGGCCUCAUGUUAUUAGCAAAUUAAGUAAGGAUGACCAGACAAAUAUUCCGAAACUUUUUCUAUUAGCAAAUCCUAGCAGUUCUCCCAAAAGCAGCCCCACUGGCUCUGCAGAACAUUUUUCAACUAUAAUAACCAAGCCCCUCAGAGCAAGUUUGCUACAAGUGUCUCUGCGACGGGCUAUGGGUGGUGGAGACAGGGACAAUUUCCAAAAGGGAGGGGUCCCUCAUUUGUCGUUGUGCAGUCUUCUUCAUGGAAAGCAGAUUCUGGUUGUAGAUGACAAUACCGUGAAUCUAAGAGUAGCCGCCGGUGCUUUGAAGAAGUAUGGAGCUGAUGUAACUUGUACAGAGAGUGGGAAGAAGGCAAUCAUAAUGCUCAAGCCACCACACGAGUUCGAUGCUUGUUUCAUGGAUAUUCAGAUGCCAGAAAUGGAUGGAUUUGAAGCUACUAAAAGGAUACGAGAGAUGGAAAGUGAUCUUAACGAUCGAAUAAAACAUGGGGAAGUACCAUUGGAAGCUUCUGGAAAUGUCUUGCAUUGGCACACUCCCAUAUUGGCCAUGACAGCAGAUGUGAUCCAGGCAACGCAUGACGAGUGCCUAAGGUGUGGAAUGGAUGGCUAUGUAUCGAAGCCAUUUGAAGGAGAACAGCUGUACAGAGAAGCGGCUCGCUUUUUCAAAAAUGAAAAGAACCGAAUAGAAGAGUUAAAAAUAUGCAUGGCAUAACAGCAGAGGAGACUUGCUUGAGAGUUCAUUAGUUGCAGCAUGCGGGACCUGAUAAAAUAUAGAGUUAUUUUGAAGGCCUGCCAGGGAUGAAAUUUGAAGAUGGAAGAAGUAUGUUCUAUUCCUCAUCUAAUUCGGAAUAUCUAACAUAUGAUACAAUUUACGCAUAAGGUGCUACUUUUCUUUUUUUCCUUUGUCUGGAACUUCGUGAAGAACUCCAUUUUAUCUCUCCAACAAAAAAGUUUUUCGCUAUCAGCGCUGUGUGAAGGAGAGACACCUUGCACUUGUCCUGGAUUGCAGCGCCACUAUCCUGUCGUGUAAAAUAAAAUGGGUCUUGGAAAAAUUCUUUGCCCCCAAGAAAUAUGGAGUGUACAGAGAUGAACAAUCAGUUCAGAUUUUUUUUCUUUUGUUUAUUUUCUUGAAUAUGUGAUAAUACAUGUAUUCUUCAGAAAAGAUUAAAUUCAUGGAUGUAAAUUACACAUUCAAAUAAAAAUUGAUGCAUCAAGCAGUGUAAGACUCCUCUUGUAUAUAAAAUGACUUUAGCCUCUUUCGUUCAA